rnacentral:rRNA from 1 species
AUUCCCCUAGUAACUGCGAGUGAAGCGGGAAAAGCUCAAAUUUAAAAUCUGGCAGUCUCUGGCUGUCCGAGUUGUAAUCUAGAGAAGUAAUGCCCGUGCUGGACCGUGUAUAAGUCUCCUGGGAUGGGGCGUCAUAGAGGGUGAGAAUCCCGUCUUUGACACGGACUACCAGUGCAUUGUGGUAUGCUCUCAAAGAGUCGAGUUGUUUGGGAAUGCAGCUCAAAAUGGGUGGUAAAUUCCAUCUAAAGCUAAAUAUUGGCGAGAGACCGAUAGCGAACAAGUACCGUGAGGGAAAGAUGAAAAGAACUUUGGAAAGAGAGUUAAACAGUACGUGAAAUUGCUGAAAGGGAAACGCUUGAAGUCAGUCGCGUUGGCCGGGAAUCAGCCUUGCUUUUGCAUGGUGUACUUUCUGGUUGACGGGUCAGCAUCAAUUUUGACCGCUGGAAAAAGGCCUGGGGAAUGUGGCAGCUUCGGCUGUGUUAUAGCCCCUAGUCGCAUACAGUGGUUGGGAUUGAGGAACUCAGCACGCCGCAAGGCCGGGUUUCGACCACGUUCGUGCUUAGGAUGCUGGCAUAAUGGCUUUAAGCGACCCGUCUUGAAACACGGACCAAGGAGUCUAACAUGCCUGCGAGUAUUUGGGUGGAAAACUCAAGUGCGUAAUGAAAGUGAAAGUUGAGAUCCCUGUCGUGGGGAGCAUCGACGCCCGGACCAGAACUUUUGGGACGGAUCCGCGGUGGAGCAUGUAUGUUGGGACCCGAAAGAUGGUGAACUAUGCCUGAAUAGGGUGAAGCCAGAGGAAACUCUGGUGGAGGCUCGUAGCGAUUCUGACGUGCAAAUCGAUCGUCAAAUUUGGGUAUA